ensembl:rRNA 5S_rRNA 5S ribosomal RNA
UUUUUGGACCUUCUUUACCUGAGCGUGCCUGAGCCUAGAAGCAAUGCAGGUUGGGCCUGUUUGUUCUUUGAUGGGAAACAAUCUGGGAAUACCAGGUGUGUAAAAGU